UGGGGAAUAUUGGACAAUGGGGGGAACCCUGAUCCAGCCAUGCCGCGUGUGUGAAGAAGGCCUUAUGGUUGUAAAGCACUUUAAGCGAGGAGGAGGGUACUGGUAUUAAUACUACCAGGUACUGGACGUUACCGACAGAAUAAGCACCGGCUAACUCUGUGCCAGCAGCCGCGGUAAUACAGAGGGUGCAAGCGUUAAUCGGAAUUACUGGGCGUAAAGCGCGCGUAGGUGGUUCGUUAAGUUGAAUGUGAAAGCCCCGGGCUCAACCUGGGAACUGCAUCCAAAACUGGCGAGCUAGAGUAGGGCAGAGGGUGGUGGAAUUUCCUGUGUAGCGGUGAAAUGCGUAGAUAUAGGAAGGAACACCAGUGGCGAAGGCGACCACCUGGGCUCAUACUGACACUGAGGUGCGAAAGCGUGGGGAGCAAACAGG
rnacentral:rRNA from 1 species